AUCCCGUCUGCUCGCGGGUCCUGGAGUCGGCACAGCAGCAGGAGGAGGUGGCGGAGGCGGCCUCGGGGCCACAGCCCGGAGCGGAGUCCUCAGCCGGCGGGGCGCGGGCCAUAGAGGAUGCAGAUUCCGCGCGAAAGUCAAAUGCAGAGGAGAUCUAGCUGCAUACUAGAGACCCAAAGAAUCCAGCUGAGGCCCUGGAUCCCACAGAAGUAUCCAGCACAAGUCCAGCUGAAGAUCUAGAGCACAAGGCAGCAUCCUCCAUGAGUCCAGCCAGUGGCCUGGAGCCCACGGCAGUGUCUCAUGCUUGUCCAUAUCAAGGAUCUGCACCCAGAAGGCCCAAAGGCCAAUGGUGGAAGCCAGAAAACCUGUGCCAGUGGGGUGAAGGAUUUGUGCCACCAAGCUGAGGGAUCCACAUUGGAGCCAGGAAGUGACUCUCAUGGUGAAGAUCAGAGCUCCUCUGACGAGAACAGCAGCCACUCCCAGUGACAGCAAGACUGGAGCUCCUCCUCUGGUGAGAACAGCCAAGUUCUCAUCAGGAAAACCAGCCACAGCAGGCCUCUCCUAGAAAAUCAACAGCCCAUGAUGAGCUUCCCCUCCAGGUCUCUUUUUAUGCCAUUGACAGCAAUCCUCAGGUAAUUAUUGUUCAGCAGUAAGGAGCCAUACUAUCCUCCACGGUCUCUUCAUAGAACUUCAGGAGUUGACAUCUCUGGACCUGUCAGGUUUCAUGCCCAGCAGCCAGCACACAGGAUGGACCGGGUAGACUGUGGUGCUGUGGGAGCCCCAGGUGGAUUCCUGUUCACUCAAGGGUGUUGAUUGGCGCUUGGGCUGGUGCCCCCCCACCUCAGUCCCCCAGGACUUCCCUGGACUCUAGCACUCCAGGCAGCACCUCUGCACCCUGUUUUCCCUCAAAACUCUGGUGAAUCUCCUGCUGCCUCACUUGACUACAUCCUAAGAGGUUUGUAGUACUACCUGCUUUAUCCUGAGAAGCCUUUUUGAAUUAAAAGGCUGUCAGUAAAUUAUUUGUUGAAUGAUAGGUAGAGUAUGUUUAGGGGCAGAUGGUACAAGAGAUUAGUACAUGAUUCUUGCAAAUAAAAAUGGAAUUAUCACAAAACACAAAGGUGCUUUUGGUAUCUUUCUGUCAGAGAUUAUUAAUAAUGAAGUCUUAUUUCUGUAAGAAACAGCCUCAUUUUAGCAAUGUAAGUCCUUAAUUCUUGAGUAGGGGAAAAAAAAACCCUUUUCCAUCAAGUUGGAUACAACCUUUAUUCCUUCAGAUGUAUUCUUUCUAACAUAAUUCAGUAUUUAAAAUGGA
rnacentral:lncRNA from 1 species